UACGUAGGGUGCAAGCGUUGUCCGGAAUUAUUGGGCGUAAAGAGCUCGUAGGCGGUCAGUCGCGUCGGAUGCGAAAACCCGGAGCUUAACUCCGGGCCUGCAUUCGAUACGGGCUGACUAGAGUGUUGUAGGGGAGACUGGAACUCCUGGUGUAGCGGUGAAAUGCGCAGAUAUCAGGAGGAACACCGAUGGCGAAGGCAGAUCUCUGGGCCGUAACUGACGCUGAGGAGCGAAAGCGUGGGGAGCGAACAGG
rnacentral:rRNA from 1 species